rnacentral:tRNA from 5 species
CAAGAAAAGGUCAGGAUAGCUCAGUG